CCUACGGGGGGCAGCAGUGGGGAAUAUUGCGCAAUGGGCGAAAGCCUGACGCAGCGACGCCGCGUGAGGGAUGAAGGUCUUCGGAUCGUAAACCUCUGUCAGCAGGGAAGAACGGUCACUGUGCUAAUCAGCAGUGAAUUGACGGUACCUGCAAAGGAAGCACCGGAUAACUCUGUGCCAGCAGCCGCGGUAAUACGGAGGGUGCGAGCGUUAAUCGGAAUUACUGGGCGUAAAGCGCUCGUAGGCGGUAUGUCAAGUCAAGGGUGAAAUCCCCGCGCUCAACGUGGGAACUGCCUUUGAAACUGGCAGACUGGAGUGUGUGAGAGGAUAGUGGAAUUCGAGGUGUAGGAGUGAAAUCCGUAGAUAUCUGGAGGAACAUCAGUGGCGAAGGCGACUAUCUGGCACAUAACUGACGCUGAGGAGCGAAAGCGUGGGUAGCAAACAGGAUUAGAUACCCUGGUAGUC
rnacentral:rRNA from 1 species